rnacentral:rRNA from 1 species
UACGGAGGGUGCAAGCGUUAUCCGGAUUUACUGGGUUUAAAGGGUGCGUAGGUGGGCGAGAAAGUCAGUGGUGAAAUCUCCGGGCUUAACCUGGGAACUGCGCUUGUAACUGGCAAGCUAGAGUGUGGCAGAGGGGGGGUGGAAUUCCACGUGUAGCAGUGAAAUGCGUAGAGAUGUGGAGGAACACCGAUGGCGAAGGCAGCCCCCUGGGCUAACACUGACGCUCAUGCACGAAAGCGUGGGGAGCAAACAGG